rnacentral:rRNA from 1 species
AACGAACGCUGGCGGCAGGCCUAACACAUGCAAGUCGAACGCCCUAGCAAUAGGGAGUGGCAGACGGGUGAGUAACACGUGGGAACCUUCCCUAUAGUACGGAAUAGCCCAGGGAAACUUGGAGUAAUACCGUAUACGCCCGAGAGGGGAAAGAUUUAUCGCUAUAGGAUGGGCCCGCGUAGGAUUAGCUAGUUGGUGAGGUAAUGGCUCACCAAGGCGACGAUCCUUAGCUGGUCUGAGAGGACGACCAGCCACACUGGGACUGAGACACGGCCCAGACUCCUACGGGAGGCAGCAGUGGGGAAUAUUGGACAAUGGGCGCAAGCCUGAUCCAGCCAUGCCGCGUGAGUGAUGAAGGCCUUAGGGUUGUAAAGCUCUUUUGUCGGGGACGAUAAUGACGGUACCCGAAGAAUAAGUCCCGGCUAACUUCGUGCCAGCCGCGCGGUAA